rnacentral:SRP_RNA from 1 species
GCCGGGUGUGGUGGCGUGCACCUGUAGUCCCAGCUACUCGGGAGGCUGAUGUGAGAGGAUCGCUUGAGUCCAGUUCUGGGCUGCAGUGCGCUAUGCCCAUCGGGUGUCCGCACUAAGUUCGGCAUCAAUAUGGUGACCUCCUGGGAGCAGGGUACCACCAGAUUACCUAAGGAGGGGUGAACAGGCCCAGGUCGGAAACGGAGCAGGUCAAAACUCCCGUGCUGAUCAGUAGUUGUAUGUAAACAGUUUUCCAAAUUCGUGGUACCAAUUUAUAUUAU